CCGCCUUUAGCAAUUGUAACUCAAAGUAAAGUCACUCUAUUAAAUCAUUUUAGAGAAAUGAUGGCCUAUUCCUCUUUACAACACCUGGUCUGGAGUUGGAUAUUCCAAUACAUUGAUUUUUUUUAUUCUUUAUCCAUUCAGUUUCCCAGGACCUGGGGCUGGAAUUUAAGCAAAUCAUCACUUCUCCACCACCAUGCUUGAUAGUUGGUAUGAGGUACUUAUGGUGAUGCACUGUGUUUGGAUAUCAUGAUGAUAAUACAGCUUAGGCUCCCCAGUCCACAGGACUUUUGAGGAUGAAAAUUCAUCAUGAAUAUAGAGGGAUACAUCAUGAAUAUAAAGUACUACUUUAAAAUUGACAGAGGAAAAUCUUAGCUAUAUUCUGUAGAAUCAAAUUAUAGCUGUAUUUUAUCUCUGAGACUACAUAAAAUGCUUCUACAAACCCCAAUUCCAAUGAAGUUGGAACAGUUGUGUGAAACAAAAGGCGGAAUAUAUGCUGGAACAUGCUGCCAUUUAAGCAACAUAUUUUAUGGGGACGUCCGUGCUUAUUUCAGUAAGUCUAUGCCAAGCCACAAUCUGCACAUGUUACAACAGCAUUGCUUCAUAGUAAAAGUGUGCAGGUACUAGACUGGCCUGGCUGCAGUCCAGACCUGUCUCUCAUUGAAAAUGUGUGGCGAAAUAUGACAACACAGACCACAGCAAAUGAAGUCGUACAUCAAGCAAGAAUGGGACAGAAUUCUACCUACAGUACAAAACUUCAACAAUUAGUGUCCUCAGUUCCUUAAAGUGUUAAAAGAUAAGGUGAUAUAACACAGAGGUAAAAAAUACAUGUAAUAUGUAAUAUGUUUAGUGUUCUAAGAGAUAUGUAUUUACAAUUUAUGGUGGAAUUAGUUUGUUGGAUGUGACAGAAUGGAAAUAAACCUAGAUGCUCUAUCAUAAAAGCUCUAAAGUCUCCAUCUUGCAGGAAUUACUGUGAAAUAGUUAUAAUGAGAAAGGAACAGACAGGAACAGAUUCAGUUAUUUCAUCAGGAAAAAUCUGAACAUUGUUGUUCACAAACCCUUAGAUUGUAAAUAUCAGUACACUUAAUUCCGUUGGCUGCAGUCCUGCAGAGGCACAGUCAGUUAUUGCAGCAUAUCUAAUGUACUAGAAAGAACCAUCGGGUCAUUGAACUGUCUUUGUUUGCCAGUUACUAUAUCAAAUGCAAAGCACAAUAGCCUCUCAUCGUGGCUAAUUAAGAGUUUAAAAUGCUUUAUUGCUUAGCAAUGGUGUUUGUAUGUCACCCAUUCUACUGUAGCUUAAAUAAAGGUGAUGUCUUGA